rnacentral:rRNA from 1 species
AGUGAACGCUGGCGGUAGGCCUAACACAUGCAAGUCGAACGGCAACACAGUAAGAUCUUUCUCUUACGGUUGGCGAGUGGCGGACGGGUGAGGAAUGCAUCGGCAUCUUCUUUUUCUUGGGUGAUAACGUAGGGCAACUUACGCUAAUACCUCAUACGACCUACGGCUUAAAUCAAGGGAUCUUCGCACCUUUCGCGAUUCAUUUAGCUGAUGUCGGAUUAGCUAGUUGGCGGGGUAAAGUCACACCAAGGCGACGAUCCGUAGCUGGUCUGAGAGGAUGAUCAGCCACACUGGAACUGAGACACGGUCCAGACUCCUACGGGAGGCAGCAGUGGGGAAUAUUCGACAAUGGGCGCAAGCCUGAUGCAGCCAUACCGCGUGAGUGAAGAAGGCCUUCGGGUUGUAAAGCCCUGUUGUUGGGAAAGAAAAGAAGCAGGUUAAACCACCGACGUUCUGACGGUACCCAAAGAAUAAGCACCGGCUAACUUCGUG